GACGAACGCUGGCGGCGUGCUUAACACAUGCAAGUCGAACGAAGUGGCGAACGGGUGAGUAACGCGUAAUCAACCUGCCCUUCAGAGGGGGACAACAGUUGGAAACGACUGCUAAUACCGCAAACUGAAGGAGGGGAUUGCGUCUGAUUAGCUAGUGGGAGGGGUAACGGCCCACCAAGGCGAUGGUCAGUAGCCGGGCUGGUAGGGUGAACGGCCACAUGGGGACUGAGACACGGCCCAGACUCCUACGGGAGGGAGCAGGGGGGAAUUUUCCGAAAUGGACGAAAGUCUGACGGAGCAACGCCGCGGGAGUGAUGACGGCCUUCGGGUUGUAAAGCUCUGUUAAUCGGGACGCGGUACCGGAAUAGAAAGCCACGGCUAACUACGUGCCAGCAGCCGCGGUAAUAC
rnacentral:rRNA from 1 species